rnacentral:rRNA from 1 species
ACUACGGGAGGCAGCAGUGGGGAAUAUUGCACAAUGGGGGAAACCCUGAUGCAGCGACGCCGCGUGAGUGAAGAAGGAAUUCGGUAUGUAAAGCUCUAUCAGUAGGGAAGAAAAGGACGGUACGUGAGUAAGAAGCCCCGGCUAACUACGAGCAAGAAGCGGUGGCAACACGGAGGGGGCAAGCGUUAUCCGGAUUUACUGGGUGUAAAGGGUGCGUAGACGGCUGUGCAAGUCUGGAGUGAAAGGCGGGGGCUCAACCCUCGGAUUGCUCUGGAAACUGUACGGCUGGAGUGCAGGUGAGGUAGGUGGAAUGCCUGGUGUAGCGGUGAAAUGCAUAGAUAUUAGGAGGAACUCCAAUAGCGAAGGCAGCUUACUGGACUGUAACUGACGUUGAGGCACGAAAGCGUGGGGAGCAAACAGGAUUAGAUACCCCAGUAGUC